CUGGUGGGCCGAGGGGGCCUGCUGGGCCCUGGGGGUGCAUGGUCCUUGGUCUGGGUGGGGGUGAGUGAGGGGCCAGGCGAAGGGCCCACCCUCAGAGCCUCGGCCUGAGAGGAGAGCCCUCCUGAGGGAUGUCUGCCCUCCCUCCCGGCUCCCUCACAGGGUUGGGGACCCUACUCCCAGCUUCCGACCGUCUCACACCCUAGACAGAGGGGCAGCAUCUGCAUCCCCAUGUUGUCCAUUAGUCUCCCCCGACCCAGUUCUUUGAUAAAAGCUUUUCAGUUUUCUGUGCAGGACCACGUGAGCUCCCCAGCCACCGUGCCCCCUGCUCUUGUGAGCUGCCACCCCUGAGCCCUCCCUUCGGGGGAGCACCGACCCGGAGCCCCCACCAUAGCCAGUGGGCCCGAGGUGCCCUUUGAGCAAGGGGCCGUCUGCAUGGAGGGUGGGCCAGACUCAGGCCCACCAUGUACCCACACUUCCCCCUGUCUGGGCUCCCUUGUCCCUCUGUGGCCCCCUCCAGCCCACUCCUCACGAAGCCACCAUGUGGAGCUGGUGAAGAUGUGAGGCCACCACAGGGCGCCCAAGGCCCGCAGCGGCACCACGGAGAAGACACAGGCAGUGGGAACUGGGACCUGCAGGGACAGCUUCUCUGGGAAGUGCAGAGCCCUCAGAAGCGUCUUGCUCGAACCGGGAUCACAGUGACUGCGAGGGAGGCUGUUCUGCUGCAGCUGGUGGCUGGAAAAGGCCACCCAGAACUCAGGGACACACGGGAUCUGAUUAAGGUGAGCGCUCCAGCGUCGGUCUGCUUUCCGCAGUGCAGGACGUCCGACGGACUGGUGGGCUGGCGUGCUGUCCAGCGUCUGGUGACUGGACUGUACCCAGACAAGCUCUUGUCCCGACUAGGAUUAAAGUGUUAAGUCAAAAUUGGGUCUUUCUUGGCACUUCUUAAAACUUAACCAGUUAGAACAUUUGGGUUACAAAUGUCAAAAGCUUCAGGUGCUGCUGUUUUUAUUUUUGUUAAUGUGCUUUUAUUUAUUAAAAAGGUUACAGCAGAGGUGCCUGUUUUGUCUAUACUGUAUGCAUCACUCUGUCCAAAGUGCGUGCUUGUGACGUUUUCUUAAAUCAUGCGCCGUACGGAGGGAGAUGGAUCGAAGAUGGUUUGACUUCUGCAGUAUGUAAGGUGCACGCGAGUGUGGGUGCAGUGCUUUUCACUCUGCAGGAUGAUGGAAAAAGGGUUAUGACAUGAGAGUUUAAAAACAGCCCGGCCGGGUGGGGCUGGUCGGUUGAAAACAAGGCUCUGGUUCUUGUUGCUUCUCCCCUCCCAAGGCGGCCCCCUGGCGCACCGAGUGCGUCGAGGUGCUCUAGCCUGAGCAAAUGACAUUGAGUAAUAACAUCUCUUUCUUGAUUAUGCUAAUUUCCAUAUUCUGGUUGCCAUCACCAAUUCUGUUAAAGUUCUCUUUUUCAGCUGACACUUUUACCUAGAAAGACUCAUCGGGUCACUGCUUGUUUUCAUUUUACACCAAUGGGGUGAUUUGCGACGCCACAUAAUUGCUGCAGGGUUGUUUCAAAACCUUUGAAGUAUUAUCGUAGCCCUCUAUUGCUGUAGCACCUCUACAGCCGUCUUGACUAUCUUCUAAUAUGCGCAAGAUUUAGCAACAAGAUAAAGGCUGGAUAAAAUGUACUUUCAAAACAUAUUUUUGUUUGAUGCUUUCUCUACCCACCUUCCAAUUAUUGUUAAUGCAAAAGACAUUAGUGAUGAUUUGGUAGUAUUAAUUUUGUAGUCAUGGCUACCUUGCACUAAAUUUAUUUUCAUUAAACACUUA